AGAGAAGCCUCUACCGUUGACUUAACGAAAGAAAACUUCAUAGUAGCACGACAAGUUUUCUUCCGAGAGUAUUGGACAAAACGCUACUUUUUGUGUUAUGUAACGGUAGUUUUAAUUUUUUUUUUUUAUCUUCCGACGUGACCGGGUGACACAGCUAGUUUGGGCCUGUCCAGUUAACGUUGGGCUAGUUGGGAGGUAACAUCGUUAACGUUAACGUUACACCAAACUGUACAAUGCAUACCGCCGGUAUGCUAGCGUCAAACGGAUCAAUAAUGGACUUGGACUCGGAGUUGGUGAAAAUAAAAGCACACUACCGUGGGGACAUGUUAAUCGCAGACUUGGCAGCCACGGUAAACUUUGUGGAGUUGCGUGAGGAGGUGAGAAAGAUGUGCAGCGUUGCCAAGCAGCAGCCCAUCACGCUCAAAUGGAUCGAUGAUGAAGGGGACCCUUGUACCAUCUCGUCCCAGAUGGAGCUGGAGGAGGCUUUUCGUAUUUACAAUCGAACCAAGAGGUCUGGACUACUGCUGCAUGUCUUCCCCAGUAUCCCAGAGCGGCCUGGCAUGCCCUGCCCUGGAGAGGACAAAUCGAUCUAUCGCCGCGGGGCCAGAAGAUGGAGGAAACUCUACCGAGUCAACGGACACCUCUUCCAGGCCAAGCGCUUUAACAGGAAAGCCUACUGUGGCCACUGUAGUGAAAGGAUAUGGGGGCUGGGCAGGCAGGGCUACAAGUGUAUCAACUGCAAACUGCUGGUCCAUAAGCGCUGUCACAGACUCAUCCCUCAGACCUGCCAAAGGCUUAUGGAUCCAGUCAUGCCAUCACAGGAGCCCCCUUCAGAUGCCAAGAGUGAAGAAGUGGACCUUCCACCAGAUGACACAGAGGACACCGACGGAAUAUCUUUUUUACCACACAACUGUUCCUUGGAUAAAACCGAAGACGCAGAGACAGAGGACAUUAAAGCAGUGGUGGAUGGCAUCGACGGCAUUAAGCUGUCCCAGGACCUGGCUCUGGGCCUGGGGGACUUUGACCUGAUCCGAGUGAUCGGGCGCGGCAGCUACGCCAAGGUGCUGCUGGUUCGGCUAAAGAAGAACAAGCAGGUGUACGCCAUGAAGGUGGUGAAGAAGGAGCUGGUCCACGACGAUGAGGAUAUCGACUGGGUGCAGACAGAGAAGCAUGUGUUUGAGCAGGCGUCCACCAAUCCAUUCUUAGUAGGCCUCCACUCCUGUUUCCAGACAGAAAGUCGGUUAUUUCUGGUGAUUGAAUAUGUUAACGGCGGGGACUUGAUGUUUCAUAUGCAACGACAAAGGAAGCUCCCUGAAGAACAUGCAAGAUUUUAUGCUGCUGAAAUCUGUAUCGCUCUGAACUUCCUGCAUGAAAAGGGCAUCAUCUACCGAGAUCUGAAGUUGGACAACGUUCUCCUGGAUCACGAGGGACACAUCAAGCUCACAGACUACGGCAUGUGCAAGGAGGGGAUCAGACCAGGUGACACCACGAGUACCUUCUGUGGAACGCCCAACUACAUUGCACCUGAGAUCCUCCGAGGAGAGGACUACGGCUUUAGUGUGGACUGGUGGGCUCUGGGCGUGCUGAUGUUUGAGAUGAUGGCUGGGCGGUCACCGUUUGACAUUAUCACCGACAAUCCUGACAUGAACACAGAGGAGUACCUUUUUCAAGUUAUUCUUGAGAAGCCCAUUCGCAUCCCAAGGUCUCUGUCAGUGAAAGCUGCCAGCGUGCUCAAAGGCUUUCUAAACAAGGAUCCCAAGGAGCGGCUGGGUUGCCAGGUCCAGACGGGCUUCACAGAUAUCAAGGCACACACAUUUUUCCGCAAUAUAGACUGGGACCAGGUAAGAGCAGACUGGACAAGAAAGAGAUGACGCCGCCCUUCAAACCUCAAAUCACUGAUGACUACGGCCUCGAAAACUUUGACACGCAGUUUACUAAUGAACCAGUGCAGCUAACACCAGAUGAUGAGGACGUCAUCAAGAGAAUAGACCAGUCAGAGUUCGAGGGAUUUGAAUACAUCAACCCCCUGCUGCUAUCCACUGAGGAGUCUGUAUGAAGGGGAGACCAGCUUCCUCCUUUCGCCCACCUACUGUCUGUCCAAGCUGCCGUCUCAGCCAAAAAAACACUCGCAGGCCAACUCUGAAAGGCGAAGAGGGGGAAGAGUAAAGGGAGGACCCACUCACCCUCUGGACCUUUUUCAACACAGCAAAGCAAACUGGAGAACGGGAACGUUUCCUACCUGGACCAUUCAGAUAGUUUUGUUGGAAUACCAAACUCUUCUUUUCUUGGCAUCAAGGAAAACAAAGACACUGGACUUCAAGAACAUUCCCUGACGUUAUGUUGCCUUCCCUUUUCUUUUCUUUUCCCCCCUCCUUCGGCUUCAUUCUGUUCUCCUCUCUGAAUGUCCAUCCUCGUGUCAAAGCACGGUCGGCUUUGUGAUUUGAACGGAGAGCGGUUUCAUUCUGUGCCUGCCAUCACAAACACAUUUCAACCCGUCUCACAUCCCUGGAUAAAUAUGACAGUUCUGCUGAAGAACUUGAAAUUUUAGAUGCACUUUUUUUGUUAAUUUUUUUUUCUAUAUUGUGGCGGGGGGGGGCAAGCCUCACAC